rnacentral:lncRNA from 1 species
AAAAGGAUAAAGAAGGUAUGGCAAGAGGCAACUACACUCGUCUCCUAGGCCGUAUCUUCUCCUAAAAUACAAGCAAAUAUUUAAUUAAGAAUCAAUUCCAUCGCCAUCGUCGUUCGUUAAGAAUCAAUUCCCCAGAAGCGAUUCUCUCUGUUCCUGAUGCCUCUUGCCAUCUCAAAGUUUCUUCUUCUUAGCUUCGAUCGAUCCUGUAUAUCACAAGAGCCACCGCCGAUUUGCUUCUCCCCUCGGUUUCUCCUCCAUCACGGUGACGCGUGUCCAAGAAGAACCGUCUUUUUUGGUGCUCAAUUAAGAGACGUCGCUUAAGGUAAAUCAUUUUUUCCUUUUAUUUUUAAUCAUAAUUACAUCUAAAUACCCACGUAAGAGACCCUGAUAGUCAUGUUCUUAACGAUCAUUGUUUUGAGUCGUGGAGUUUAGGUUUCGUCUGGGGUCAGGAAUUUGUAGGAUUAAACAGAAUCUAAAGUCGCUUUGUCUCAGCCUUCGAGGUUUCUGCUUCUGUGUGUGAAGUCUGACUUUGCGGCGUUGUUCUAGCCAGGGGCCGAUCUAAAAACUUAUUUAGGCUGUAGCACCUAAAUAUUUAAUUAUCAUAAAAUAAUUAAUAUAAUAUAUAUAUGAAAUAAAAUUAAAAAAAGGAGAUUAAACUGAAAUAGUUUAUGACAUUCAAAACAUAAAACUCUAAAAAUAAUUAAAAUUCUCUAAGCAAAUCC